rnacentral:rRNA from 1 species
UCGGAGUCCGAUUUAGCCAUGCUAGUCGCACGGGUUUAGACCCGUGGCGAAUAGCUCCGUAACACGUGGCCAAUCUACCCAACGGACCAGUAUAACCUCGGGAAACUGAGGCUAAUCCUGGAUACUACUCUCACGCUGGAACGCAGAGAGUUGGAAACGUUCCGACGCCGUUGGAUGAGGCUGCGGCCGAUUAGGUAGACGGUGGGGUAACGGCCCACCGUGCCGAUAAUCGGUACGGGUUGUGAGAGCAAGAACCCGGAGACGGAAUCUGAGACAAGAUUCCGGGCCCUACGGGGCGCAGCAGGCGCGAAACCUUUACACUGCACGACAGUGCGAUAGGGGGACUCCGAGUGCGGAGGCAUAGUGCCUUCGCUUUUGUACACCGUAAGGUGGUGCACGAAUAAGAGCUGGGCAAGACCGGUGCCAGCCGCCGCGGUAAUACCGGCAGCUCGAGUGAUGACCGAUUUUAUUGGGCCUAAAGCGUCCGUAGCCGGCCGGGCAAGUUCGUCGGGAAAUCUACCAGCUCAACUGGUAGGCGUCCGGCGAAAACUGCUCGGCUUGGGACAGGGAGACUCAAGAAGUACGUCCGGGGUAGGAGUGAAAUCCCGUAAUCCUGGACGGACUACCGAUGGCGAAAGCAUCUUGAGAGAACU